rnacentral:miRNA from 17 species
UGUUCAGACUGGUGUCCAUCAUG